rnacentral:lncRNA from 1 species
GGUUCCUAGGCCGCGUCCUGACUCGGCRGAGGAAUGGGUUCCACUGUGUGGCACACGCCCUUACUCCUCCACUGCAUGGAAGUGACACUUAGUGGGGGAAUUUAGGUUUUGAUCUUGUGUCUUACAAAAACAWGAUACUCCCUAAGGGUUCAGAGAGAAGGCAAAUAGCCUUUAUCAAGUGGAAGGAGAUGCUGCAGUUCAUAUUCUAGUUGAUAGAGAAGCCAGAYUGAGAACAUAAUUAUCCUAAUUAAUUUUAUAUCUUGAAUCUCUUUUUGUAUAAACAGCAGUUUCAAAGCAGGCCUCCAGCUUUUAUGCGCUGAGUAGUUCCUUUAUCCUGUUGAGGGGCAUGUUUGCAAUGAAUGUUCUUGUUUUAUAGAAAAGGACUUGCGAGAACUCAGGAUCCUGAAAAAAUACUCSUUGGUCUGUAGAAAUUUCUCCUGCACUAACUCCCUCCCACCACUUCAGGCCUGCUCUGCAAGGAGUUCAUGAACCUUCCUGCAUCAUCCUCCUCUGGAUCAUCCGGGCUUGAUGCAACUGUGAAGCAUUAGCUCUAAAUAUACAACUGAGAGGCCAGUUCUGCUUCAACACACACUCAUCACAAAGAAUGACAAAGCAGAGAGCACAAUUUGCAAGAGAAACUUAACAAAGAAAUGACUACCUAAAUGAGCUGCAGAGAAAGCAAGAUUAAAUSGGGGCUAACCAGUGUUUUAACCUUUGGAGCUGGCUAAAGAUAGGGGCAAACUGUAGGAGACUCAGAAAACAGGCCCACCCAUGGCCACCAUGUACACCAGGUUUUGUCCUCAUUUGUGAAGYUGAAUGCAAAAGUUCAUUCUGCUUUAUUUACUUGUUUAGGUGAUUUUUGGCAACUCGGCAUGUGUUCCUGGUGCAAAUCCUCAGUGUACUGGGCCAAGAGACACGGAAUUGAACUUUACAAGGAAAAUAAACAGUCGGUUGGCAUUAAACACACAGCGAGCAUCUGAAUCCAGACUUAGCACCUCGAUACUCCAAAAUCAAGCAUUCCCAAUUUCUCCUCCUGAAACCAUUCUGCUACAAACCGUGUUAACACAAGGGAGCAGACCGUGGAGUGCAUGGUGGCACCAUCUCCUCCUCCCAGGUGCGUGCUCCAUCCGGGUUUCCAAGUCAUCUUCUCACCCUUCCACACAUUUUUUUGUAAAUAGUGCCCAAAUCCCACUUCACUGAAAGCCCGAAAGGCUCUGCAAGUUAUUUGGAGCCAGAGAAUUGUUUUGUUUUUUUUUCCUGAGAUAACCUGUUUGAAAUAUUUCAAUAAACUGCAAUCUUGAGUUAACGCA